GCCUUGUUAGCUCAGUUGGUUAGAGCGUCGUGCUAAUAACGCGAAGGUCACAGGUUCGAGACCUGUACAGGGCA
rnacentral:tRNA from 2 species